CAACUGCAAGUGGUGGAUCACUCGGCU
rnacentral:rRNA from 39 species